CAGUAGCCGCGGUAAUACCGAGGAUGCAAGCGUUAUCCGGAAUGAUUGGGCGUAAAGCGUCUGUAGGUGGCUUUUCAAGUCCGCCGUCAAAUCCCAGGGCUCAACCGUGGACAGGCGGUGGAAACUACCAAGCUGGAGUAUGGUAGGGGCAGAGGGAAUUUCCGGUGGAGCGGUGAAAUGCGUUGAGAUCGGAAAGAACACCAACAGCGAAAUCACUCUGCUAGGCCGACACUGACACUGAGAGACGAAAUCUAGGGGAGCAAAUGGGAUUAGAUACCCGCGUAGUCCCUGUCUCUUAUAC
rnacentral:rRNA from 1 species